AGUGAACGCUGGCGGCGUGCUUAACACAUGCAAGUCGAACGAGAACGGGUUAUAGCUUGCUAUAAUUGUCAGCUAAGUGGCGCACGGGUGAGUAAUGUAUAGGUAAUAUGCCUCUUACUAAGGGAUAACAAAUGGAAACGUUUGCUAAUACCUUAUACUCCUUAUUAACAGAAGUUAAUAAGGGAAAGAUUUAUUGGUAAGAGAUUAGCCUGUAUUGUAUCAGUUAGUUGGUGGGGUAAUGGCUUACCAAGACUAUGACACAUAACUGGUUUGAGAGGAUGAUCAGUCACACUGGAACUAGGACACGGUCCAGACUCCUACGGGAGGCAGCAGUGGGGAAUAUUGCACAAUGGACGAAAGUCUGAUGCAGCAACGCCGCGUGGAGGAUGACACAUUUCGGUGCGUAAACUCCUUUUAUAUGAGAAGAUAAUGACGGUAUUAUAUGAAUAAGCACCGGCUAACUCCGUGCCAGCCGCCGCCGUAA
rnacentral:rRNA from 1 species